rnacentral:tRNA from 1 species
AGUUACUCACCUAAGAAGGAUUAUGUCUUGAAAACAUAAAGAAGGGGUUAGAUCCCCCUAAUAACUU